CUUUCAGAUUGAGUUAUGUGGGGUUAUGACCUUACCGUCGAACUUAGUCGACGGUUGACCUUUGAUCAACGAGUCUCGCAUUAUUCUUGAAUUCCCUUGUGGAUGUGUGUUAUGUGAAUUUCAUAUUCUAUGGAUAAGAGUUCUGAGACGUGGUUUGAUAACUAUUUUAGAAGCCGAGCGUUCGGGAUGCCUUGGUUCUGAUGUUAGGGAGUCGUAGCGCGGACCCCAGGUGAGUGGGCAUUUGUUUCUAUAUAUAUCUAUAUACUAUUGAUUUUCCCAGAAAUCGAGUUUAAAUGAAAUGCGUUAUGAAAUGAGUUUUGAAAUGCCAUGCAUAGAAAUUAUAUGAAUUAUAUGAUUUGGUAUAUGAUGCAUAUAUGUGAAAUGGUGAUGUGGACGCACAUGUGAGUAUCAGGUGAGGUUUAUGUUGUUCAUGUGAUUUAUUGAUGAUGUGAAUUGUGUUGAGAGCUCAUAACAUGCACCCCCGGUGUUAGUGCUUAUGUUAUUCACCCUGCAUCACACGUUCACCUUGGAUCCAAGUAGAUGCUAGUCGUACAGACCACUAAAGGUGGUUCCGACAUGCCAGUCGUACAGACCAUUAGAGGGGUUCCGACUGGUAGGUGACUUUAGAUUAUGUGCACAGAUGAUUGAUGAGAGAAGCACUAGAGCGUAUUAUUUCACCAUCUUAGUCGUACAGACUACUAUAGGUAGUUCCGACUUAUGUGCAGUGUAGUGCCGUACAGGUCACAGUUGGUGACUCCGGCAGGGCCGUACAAGUCACAGUUGGUGACUCCGACUAGAUGGGAUAUUGAGCUAUAGAAUCAGCCGUACAGGACCACUAUAGGGUCUUCGGUUGAUUUAUUAUUUCACCUGAUUUAUAUUGAUGCAUUCAUAUUAUAUUUUGGCAUAUGGCAUGGCAUGGCAUAUUCUUUCUUAAAAGCGUUGAAGGAUUGUGAUUUGAGCUUUUGAUGAUAUAUAUAUGUUUAUAUACGAUUAUAUAUUAUUUUCUGGGAAAGUAUACAAGUUUUUCAGAGAGGGGUUAUAAAUGUUGAAUAAAUGAGAUGUUUUGAAAAGCUUUAUUUUCGCCCACUCACGUUUUCUGUUUUGCGCCCCUCCAGGUUCUAGUAGCAAAGUUCCUUAUCGACGAGGAUUUGUGGCAUGUCCCUGUUAAGGUGGCUACUUUUGUGGGUAUGGUUUCUACCUACAUUAUUGUACUUGACUAUGCUCUGACAUCACGUGUGAUUUGGGUUCAUACCCACGCACAGUGCACUCUGUUAUCAGGCACCUUUAGGUUUAAAAUUAUUCGCAUUUUUUUUCCUUAUCAUCACUUUAUGGCUUCGUCACCUUCCAGGUGGCGCCCAGCAUAGCUCGAUUCGGGAUCCUAGUGGAUAUUCCGGAUCGGGGUGUGUCAGUUUGGUAUCAGAGCAUAAGUUGGGCAGUCUUGCGUUCAUCACACACGUGAUGUGAGCAUUCUUGGUUUUCGUGUCUACUUUUGGAUCUUGCCACCUCGUCGAUUACGAGAUAAUGUAGUAGCUCUUCUAAGUUUUGGUAGUUGGGUUGACCUCUUGAUGUUUUAGAAGAGCACUCCGGUGAAUGUUCUCAUAAUUGAAGUGAAGAAGUUCUCUAUCAAGAAGCGAAUCAGAGGAAAGAAGAUGGCCUAAAUUAUGGUUAGCGCAGCAUUGGGUGUUAUCAGAUGCUUUGCCAAUUAAUUCGAUACUUAUCCUCUAGCCAUCCGCAUUAAACUGUUGAGAUUUGAAUUUCGGAGUUGUUUGAUUCCUUGACAGUACCUAUUGGAUUAUUACCUAUUGGAAUUCUUGUGAAGUUUACCUUGUUUAGACUCAAAGACAGUCUCGUGUGACGAUGGUGCCAAAGUAAUAGCAUUUAAUGGAAAAGCACUUUAGAAAGAUCACUUUGGUGUAUGAUUGGACUUGGAAAGUGAUAUUGUACACUCUUAGUACAAAGUAUCUUGUAUGUGUAAAGGAUGUGAGAAUCAAUAGUCAUGGUGUUGAACCUAUGCUAUGCUUAUAUGGUGUUUCAGUGGAUGGUAGCUUUACUUAAGUGGAAAGCUGUAUUCUUCCAGCCCUAAAGCUUAAACUAUUAGCGAUGUUUUCUUUCCUUUAAAAGGGCGUUAGAAUUUCGACGACCAGCAUCGGUGGAUCAACUGAGAUAGAAAGGUGAGUUGUUAUUGAUUUUCUCUCACCUUGUUAUAUAAAAGUCCGUGUUCACGAUCCAAUCAGGUGUGGAGAUAUAAAAGGAAUUAAAAGUCGAGGCUCCACCUGAUGUGAUUGAAGGAAAUUCUCAGUCUAGGCGAGCCUGCCUUUGGUUAAAGCAGAAGAAUGUUUGAGGAUAUACAGUUCAACUUCCUGGGCAACCACAGUUUCUUAUUGGUUGUUUCCAAAGGAUGAUGGCAUUAUGAGAGAGCUACUUUGGACUUUUAUACUAGUUCGGACAAUUAGAAAUCGAACUAGAUUAUUAUUUGGAUAUAAUUGUAAUUAGCCGUAUUGCAUGUUUUAUUUCAAGAAUUGAAAAGUCUUUCCUGAGGUUAUGAGUACUGGAUAAUACGUGAAUUGUGGAGGAGCAUCGUAAUCAGGUAUUUGGAGGAUCAAGAUUGUGUCAUAGAAAUUUUAUGAUUUUGACACGAUGUUUGAAAAGGUAGUACGUGAACACUUUAUUCAGAUGUGGCGUUCUAAAGUUUAUCAACUAAGGAAUGUAUUCAACCAAGUCUUCUAAUUAGGGAACUUUGAACUUUGGGAUUUUACUUAGAUUUAGUCACUUUCUUAAGUGACGGUUGGAGUUAUUUUCCUCAGACACCAGUUUUAUUCAGACUGGUACUUAUAUCGGAAAGUGUGAUCUUCACAGAUGGUAUUCUUUUCUCAUUUCAAAAAGAGUUAUAGGGAUGAAGGUCGAAAUCGUCAUAAAGUGUCGUGAGAUUUAAGAUAUUCUUGGUCUUAUUGAGGUUAUCGACUAUUGAUGGGCGAACUUACAGUUAUAGUGUUCUGCAUCACUUUUGAUCGAAGAAGUUGGUUUAGUGUGUGAUGUGAGUUGUGAAUAAAGAUCUCUGACAGUUUAAGUGUUGCCUUUUCUUCAUAUGAUUUUUACAUCCUUUGGUAGCAGUGAGAAAUUUUGGAAAUUAAGGUGACGUUUUUCUCGGAUGUUGGUUAGGUAAAUGCAUCAAGAUGGGGUAACAGUUAUGCUUCCUAGCAGUGGAACCAAUAAAGAUGAAUCAUCUUAUAUGUGUUUGGAGGUAACAAUGGUCAUUUUUCAUUUGAAUACGGUUUGGUACUUCUUCAUGGAGAAGUGUGUCCAAAAUCUUCAUUAACUUGGAGCUUUUUAAUUACACUUACUUUUGGACAGAGUGAGUUGCUGGCAACAACAUUGGAAGGAUUAAAUCAACGCCUAUGAUUGCACUAUCGUGUAUUAUCCCGGUUGUGCAAACGUAAUUACUGAACAUCGUAGCACAUAUGGUUUUUAUCCUAAGUAUUUUAGUCUCCCUCAUUUCAUUAUAGAUGACCUCUUGAGUAUCGUUGCAAUGUUAUUUGGAUUCUUCAAGAAAUUGUCUAAAUGGGUUACAUCACUUACCACAUCCGGAUGCAAACGGGAUAAUUACUAUAAGCUCUUGGUAAGAAGUAUUUUGGUACAUGUGGAGUGAUAGUGAUGCCUUGAUGUUUAUGGAUUGACUUGGCAAUCAAACCAUUCUUCCAUUAAUUCUGAGGGAGCUACAGUUGGACCACUUGUUAAAAUUACCUAUUCUUGAAUUUAUUGGUUAGUUGGCAUUUUGGUCAACAUCAUAUCUGGUCAUGACUUCGUAUUCAUUCCUUGUGCUAAGAGUGUAUUUGGUCAACUUUGGUACAUGCCUACCCUAUUACAGUUCACACUAUUUUAAAGGACAGAUAGUCAUUCGAGAAAAAUUUCUUGGAUAUUGAAAUCUAGUUGGAAUCGUUAAUUCCUCAAUCACCUGUCGAUUACUUUGUGGAUUAGAUUAUUACCAUUGGUGAUUGAGUAUUCUGGAAGUUGUUUUUGGUAAGGGUAAGGACAACCAAUCAGUUGGAUAUCAUGAACUUUGAAUGUGACGACCUUGUUUGGGGUUCUCGGAUUUUCGAGUAUGCUUUAACCUUCUUGACAUGAUUUUUCACUCGAUCGAUGAGUAAUUCGAUACAUUGUCUCGGCGAAGGCGUGCGCCAGUUUUAUAUCGAUGUGUACAAGAAAUCUUGAAGUACAAUCUCCUCAUGAGUUUAUUGGACUUACCAAAAAGGAAUUUCAUGUGGUAUUGAGAAUUGAAUGGAUUUCAGCUGAGUAUUGGUGAAGGUAUGAAGCCUAGUAAUAUUGACGACACUCUUCAUGUAAGGUUGAGAUUACAAUUGUCGCUUGAAUGUUGUUGAUAAAGAUUUGGAUUCUCAAAUUUUGGAUUUCAGAGGUUAUAUUCUUGAUUCGGUGAGCGAUACUAGUGAAUAAUCGUGAAGGAAAUAUUUGAGGAUAUAUGUUUUCUAUACGCAUCUUUUCAGGACGUCAUUCCAGGAAUUGAUAAUUUGGGGAGUUCAUGGGUAUCAAACACUCCUAAUAGUUAGAUUGAUGCACUUGAAGAUUUUAUGACGUUGUGAUCAAGACACGAAUUGGAUGAUUUGGACAUAAUUGCAUUCAAGGAGCAAGAUGAUUCUUACUAACUUAUUGAAACAACAUUGAACUAUCGACAAUUCAGGCCGCAAACAAUAAUAUCAAUGGCUUAAUUUUGGGUUCUCUAAGCUAGUGGGCAAGACGGCUCAUUUUUAAUAGUAGUUACUAAUUAGUUAUAUUUCAGACUUUCCCGAAGUUCGUGUCACGACAAAUGUUUGGCAAGGACCAUUUUCAUUUUGAAUCUUGAUUUUUGUGUGUAAGCAUCUUCUAUGAGACUAUUCUAUUUAUUUGAGUAUUUCUGAUUUUGCAAAUGUUGAGUGAGUUAUUUCUACUCUUGGUUUUAAGUUUGGCGCAAGUAUCUGAACUGAAGGUUUCUAUAUUGAUAGUUGUUUUUGAUAUCCGUAAACUUUUCUUAAGCCAUUACGGGGUAAGUGGUAUUCUUACUUGACGGAUUUUGUGGAUGUUAUAUUACUACACUGAUGAGGAAGGAAAAAGGUGUGAGUUUGGAGGCAUGAAAGAGGAAUAAUUGCAAUCCGAUCGCGACGGAAUGACACUCUCUUUUAUGCAACCGCUCUAACUUGAUCUCUUCCUUGUGUAAGUAUUUUUAUAUAAUGGUACUCUUCUUUUUUUUUUUUGAGUAUUUUGCAUCUAGCAAGUUAUUUGAAAUUUCGGGGACGAAAUUUUUAAAGGGGGGAAGAUUGUGACAGCCCGUCCCGGAAAAUAUUGAUUUCUAUAAUUUUAUUAAGUGAUUUUACGAAAUUUCCUUUUGAGACACGUGUGUUGACUAAGAUUAUUUACGGUAUCGUGUCACCUAAAAAUUUCUUUCUUGGCCUAUCCCCGUAGUACUCGUCACUACGGACGCGUGGGCGCAAGUGGUUCAUGAUUUGGAGCUAUAUCGAAGAAGUUAUUAAAGUUUGAAAUUUGAUCAAUUUUAUUAAUUUCUGAAAAUAUGAAUUCUUCCUUUAUAAAAUCUGGUGUGCUAUUUGGAUGGCCCAGAUUUAAAGAAGAAGAAAUGGAUGGUGCGGAUGGAAAGGAAAGAAAGAAAAAGAAGAGGUUGGGCAAGCUGCCCAACCAGAGGGAGAGAUGUAGGAACUCCGGGAGGAAAAGAGAGAAAGACUGACCAAUCAGAACAGGGAAGGGAGGAAAGGAGAGAGGGUGAGAAGCGGAGGAAAAGAGAGGAAACGGGUUGAGAGAACCCGCAACUCGUGUUUAACCCGGUUGGCAUUUGUGUGUAAUUUCGACGAUUUUCACUCAUUUUUCCGUCGACUUGCUGCAAGAAAUUACUUGGGAACUUCUCCACGACCUUCCCUCUAUCCAUUCCAUCUCAAAUUUGGAGAGAUUUGGUCUUGAAAAUGGAGGAACCCGCGAGGAAGGAUGCGGCGGCCUUGGCUUUGAAUCACCCAAUCCCGAAGCAAUUUCUUUCAAUUUCCACCACCCAUGGCAUCCUCUUGAGGCCUAGAACAAAGCCUUAGCAAUGGUUGGGACGGCGAAGUUGAUUUGAGGACGGAUUGAGCACACCCAAAACCUAGGGUUUCCGACGGGUUUUGUUGAAAUUCGAGGCCUUGCCGACCGAAUUGGCCUUGGCCACAGGUAUGAAAGUUGCUCUACUCAUUAAGAUAUUCAUUUUUGUAAAUUUUGGUAAUUUUUUGAAAUAGUUGGAUUUUCCGGCGAGCCGGGGCGGCCGACCACCACCCACGGCGGCACGUGGCCAGUGGGCCGCCAAUGUUAUUUUUAAGUUAUAUUUGAUGUCUUGAGUUCAGUUAUGAUAGUGGUUUAACGUUAGUUGAUCAUUUGGACUUAAUUUCGAUACGAUUCAUGGUUAGCCUAAAAGGUGAAUUGACGAUCUAACCGUCGGAUCGUCACCAAACUUUGAUACGUAGUAGUAUGUAAUAUUUGAAGAAUGCAGGAACUUAUGGAUUGGAAAUCCUACGUAUGGAUCUUCCCGAAUUGGAUUUGUAAGUUCAUAAAAAUAAAAGGUUAAACGCCACUCGGUUUUGGAAAUUGGCGGAGAUCCAACCGUCGGAUCGUAACGAAAUUUUAGUAUGUUGUUCUAGAAGCUUAAUGUGUAUCUUGGGAAGUGACGGAUCGGAAAUCUGAGUUGUGGAUCUUUCAGAUUGAGUUAUGUGGGGUUAUGACCCUACCUUCGAACUUAGUCGACAGUUGACCUUUGAUCAACGGGUCUCGCAUUAUUCUUGAAUGCCCUUGUGGAUGUGUGUUAUGUGAAUUUCAUAUUCUAUGGAUAAGAGUUCUGAGACGUGGUUUGAUAACUGUUUUAGAAGCCGAGCGUUCGGGACGCCUUGGUUCUGAUGUUAGGGAGUCGUAGCGCGGACCCUAGGUGAGUGGGCAUUUGUUUUCUAUAUAUAUCUAUAUACUAUUGAUUUUCCCAGA
rnacentral:lncRNA from 1 species